rfam:Acidiplasma cupricumulans strain BH2 Contig87, whole genome shotgun sequence.
GCAAGGGUAACUAAGCUUGGCCAAAGGUGCAGGACUUAAGAUCCUGUCCCGAAGGGGUUCGCGGGUUCAAAUCCCGUCCCUUGCA